AGUGAACGCUGGCGGUAGGCCUAACACAUGCAAGUCGAACGGCAGCACAGGAGGGCUUGCUCUCUGGGUGGCGAGUGGCGGACGGGUGAGGAAUACAUCGGAAUCUACUCUGUCGUGGGGGAUAACGUAGGGAAACUUACGCUAAUACCGCAUACGACCUACGGGUGAAAGCAGGGGACCUUCGGGCCUUGCGCGAUUGAAUAAGCCGAUGUCGGAUUAGCUAGUUGGCGGGGUAAAGGCCCACCAAGGCGACGAUCCGUAGCUGGUCUGAGAGGAUGAUCAGCCACACUGGAACUGAGACACGGUCCAGACUCCUACGGGAGGCAGCAGUGGGGAAUAUUGGACAAUGGGCGCAAGCCUGAUCCAGCCAUACCGCGUGGGUGAAGAAGGCCUUCGGGUUGUAAAGCCCUUUUGUUGGGAAAGAAAUCCAGCUGGCUAAUACCCGGUUGGGAUGACGGUACCCAAAGAAUAAGCACCGGCUAACUUCGUGCCAGCCGCCGCAGUAA
rnacentral:rRNA from 1 species